AAUCGUUCACUCCGUUAUCGCGGAGCGCAGUCAAGCCAGGCCAUGGAACGGGGACCUGGA
rfam:Synechococcus sp. WH 8102 complete genome.